rnacentral:rRNA from 1 species
AAUUCCGCGAAUCAUCGAGUCUUUGAACGCAACUUGCGCCCGGGGCUCGACCCAGGGCAUUUCUGCCAGAGCGUCACC